AAACAACGUGGACUGCGAGUACAGUAAACCAUUAGAGCGGGCGCGGCCUGAGAUAAUAAACAACGCGGACUGCGAGUACAGUAAACCAUUAGAGCGGGCACGGCCCGAGAUAAUAAACAACGCGGACUGCGAGUACAGUAAACCAUUAGAGCGGGCACGGCCCGAGAUAAGAAACAACGCGGGCUGCGAGUACAGCAAAGCAUUAGAGCGGGCACGGCCCGAGGUAAACAACGCGGACAGCGAGUCAUUAAAGCAUUAGAGCGGGCACGGCCCGAGACAAUAAGCAGCACGGAAGCGAGUACAGAAAAGCAAUUGAACGGGUACGGUCCGAGAUAAGAAGCAGCGCAAUAGGCACUUGCGACGAGCAAAACAGCUGCAUAACAAUGCUUUAUAACAAAAAACGUAUUACAACCAAUUAUGAAAUUUACAAAAUAGCGCCACUUCGACAAAAUAACUUAAAACA